rnacentral:rRNA from 1 species
GUGUCAGCCGCCGCGGUAAUACGUAGGGGGCAAGCGUUGUCCGGAUUUAUUGGGCGUAAAGGGUGCGUAGGCGGCCUUUUAAGUCAGAUGUGAAAGAUCACGGCUCAACCGUGGUAAGCAUUUGAAACUGAAAGGCUUGAGUUAAGGAGAGGAAAGUGGAAUUCCUAGUGUAGCGGUGAAAUGCGUAGAUAUUAGGAGGAAUACCAGUGGCGAAGGCGACUUUCUGGACUUAUACUGACGCUGAGGCACGAAAGCGUGGGGAGCGAACAGGAUUAGAUACCCUGGUAGUCCACGCCGUAAACGAUGAGUGCUAGGUGUUGGGGGUCAAACCUCGGUGCCGCAGCUAACGCAUUAAGCACUCCGCCUGGGGAGUACGUACGCAAGUAUGAAACUCAAAGAAAUUGACGG